GUUACUUUAAGUUAUUUGUGAAACAAAAAAAUUCUGGUUUGGCUUUAUGCUACAAAAAAAUCUUAUCAUUAUCAUACUUCGUAUUUCCAGCAAAUAAGAAAUCAUUUUGGGGCGCCUGGGUGGCUCAGUUGUUAAGCAUCUGUCUUUGGC